rnacentral:misc_RNA from 1 species
AGGUGAACCUGCGGAGGGAUCAUUACAAGUGACCCCGGUCUAACCACCGGGAUGUUCAUAACCCUUUGUUGUCCGACUCUGUUGCCUCCGGGGCGACCCUGCCUUCGGGCGGGGGCUCCGGGUGGACACUUCAAACUCUUGCGUAACUUUGCAGUCUGAGUAAACUUAAUUAAUAAAUUAAAACUUUUAACAACGGAUCUCUUGGCUCUGG